rnacentral:rRNA from 1 species
AGGUUAAUCCGAGUGUUUCCUGCUAAAGGAAUCUUUUGUUAGUCUUAAAAUCACUAUUGAAUAAGGGGUGGGCAAGUUCUGGUGUCAGCCGCCGCGGUAAAACCAGCACCUCAAGUGGUCAGGAGGAUUAUUGGGCCUAAAGCAUCCGUAGCCUGUUCUGUAAGUUUCCGGUUAAAUCCAUUAGCUCAACUAAUGGGCCGCCGAAAAUACUGCAGAACUAGGGAGUGGGAGAGGUAGACGGUACUCGGUAGGAAGGGGUAAAAUCCUUUGAUCUAUUGAUGACCACCUGUGGCGAAGGCGGUCUACCAGAACACGUUCGACGGUGAGGGAUGAAAGCUGGGGGAGCAAACCGGAUUAGAUACCCGGGUAGUCCCAGCUGUAAACGAUGCAGACUCGGUGAUGCGCUGGCUUGUGGCCAGUGCAGUGCCGCAGGGAAGCCGUUAAGUUUGCCGCCUG